GUCCUUUGGACAAUGGUAGGAGAGCGUUCUAAGGGCGUUGAAGCAUGAUCGUAAGGACAUGUGGAGCGCUUAGAAGUGAGAAUGCCGGUGUGAGUAGCGAAAGACGGGUGAGAAUCCCGUCCACCGAUUGACUAAGGUUUCCAGAGGAAGGCUCGUCCGCUCUGGGUUAGUCGGGUCCUAAGCUGAGGCCGACAGGCGUAGGCGAUGGAUAACAGGUUGAUAUUCCUGUACCACCUAUAAUCGUUUUAAUCGAUGGGGGGACGCAGUAGGAUAGGCGAAGCGUGCGAUUGGAUUGCACGUCUAAGCAGUAAGGCUGAGUAUUAGG
rnacentral:rRNA from 1 species